rnacentral:misc_RNA from 1 species
AAUCGGAGAAAAAAAAAUUUCGGAGUUGAGAAUUAAAUUAAAGAACUGAUAGAAAAAAAUAAAUAAAUAAAGGAGAGCAAUGAUGUGGUACCUUUCAACCAAACAAGCAUUCCAGACACAACAUCACUGUGAAUGGAAAAGCGAACACAUAUAUGAGAAUGCACAAAAGAUAAAAAUAUUUACGUCAGAAGUUGCUUUCUUUGCAUAUAACAACUCAUUAAUUUCACAAGCAUCAACGUGGCAGCUUGACAUAUUUUAGGGUUCUACCCUGAAGUCAUACAGCUUGAGUGAUGGCUUCAUUGGAGCUGCAGCACUUUGACCUACUCAACUAAUGACAAGUGGAAUAGUUAGGUAAAGGUCGUUUUUCUCAUGCCACCAGUCUAACCUACUCUUUCCUCUGGUUCAAUCAAAACCCACUCUUUUAUGCCACUCAUAGGUAAAAGAUUCAUGUAAUAGAGUAUAGAGCUCUAAAAGAUAAUAAAAAUAAUCAUUUCCGUUUUAUCUCCCACAAAAUCCUACCUCCCUAACACAUGCUAUCGUGUGUGCAUAUGCCCCUGCCACGUUAUAAUGCUUGAACAUUUUUAACCUGACCGUGAAAUAAUUACAAGAAAG